AAAGAAGGGAGUAAAGAGGACAAAAAGAAAAAAUAAAUAAAAGUAAAGACAAAGACAAAUUGACUUCCGAUUAAGGGUCUUAUACUUAAUAAUCUCAAUAUCAAUAGAAAUUUUCAAUUCAAUUCGUAAAUCCUUGAAUUAGUUAAUUAGUAUUUAACAUUGGAGGUAAACCAGCAAGUCUUUUGUUUCAGAUAUUGAUUGUAGAAAAUCGUUAAAUGGUUUCCAAGUCUUCAAUAUGAUUUCAAUGUUCUUCUUUCUUAUGCCCGAAAGUUUAUCCAUUGAUGCAAAUUCAGUUAAGAGUGAAAUCCAGUCUUGCAUCUGGGGAGGGGUUGUCUUCUUCGGCCUACGCGCAAUCAACAUCCUAGCUGCCAUAAUCAUAUAUAAAAGUAGGGUUUUACAAUUUUUCUGAAGUUUUAAGUCUAUCAUGUUUAACAAAAAUAAUUCUGGCCUAAAAUAUAUAUCCAUUCCUAAUAUGAUCCUAAUAGUUUGGUGGAUUUUCAACCAAAUUUUUAAAAUUAUUUUACAGUUCCACCAUAUAUGAUACAUGGAGCCUUUAUCCGUUAUACCUCCAGCAUAGGGGUGAAACCCCUUUAUACAUUAGGGCCAAUUUACUUGGACAGAGGUACCACCUAAACAUCAUUUUGUAGUAAUUUUCUUUUAAUCUUGUGCAGCAGGUAAAUUUUAAAUCCUCCCAGGUUCUUUCCCAUAAUAUAGUAGUUUUUCAUAAUCUGAAAAAAAUGCAGUCUGGAAAUAUUAUUGUUUAAGAAUGUUUACCUAGGUUCUGAGGUAUAGCGGGCAAACCAGAACAUAAUGAAGGAGAUCUCGCAUAUGCAAAGGCGUUGUUGUGUCCAUGUUGUUUGGGAAUAUCUCCUGCUAAGUACUUCUAAUGGCAUUGUCUGGAACCGUAUGCUGUUCUUAAGAUUUCUCUCGGGGAUGUUUACUAGAUAGGUGGCCCUAAAAUGAUCUUUUUAAACUUCCCCAUACCAUGGGGCAAAUUUCGUCUGGGAAAUUAACUGUCUUUAUCAAGUUAUCUGCUUCAUAAACCCAGUUUCAAAUAUCUAAAUUGUUCGCCAAAGGUCUUAAGAGAUCAUCGGGUAUGGUAUACAGAGCACAGAUGGUGUUGAAAAAAUUAGAACGGCUUUUUUUUUAAAUCAUUUGAUAUUUAUAGCUAUGAUGAGUGAAUGGUUCUAGAUUUAGUAUAUUUUUUCCAAGCUUUUAUAAUGGCCAUAUGAGCAUGGGAGUGGCAAUACUCUUCUCAAAAAAUAUUUUGGAUAGAAUCCAAAUUGUUCAAAAUUUGCUCGUUCCAAUCCCAAACUUCACGAAACCUGGGUGGUGUCAUCAGGAGAGUCUCUUGCAGAUACCCUGAAAUAUUGGUGCUGCUAGCUUUAAAAUGCGCCCCCUACAGCCAAAAGCAAAAAACAUUUAAAAUGCUAAUGAACCCGAAUUUUUCAGCGUACCCGAAUAAAUUCCAAAAUCAGGGAUUUGGCUGAUUCAGCUAUACUGAUAAUUUUACAGCCAAGUCAAGUCGAAUCCAAAUUUUCCCGAAUUUUUUUGGUAUUGCUCAAGCUUAAUAAAAUCUCAUGAUUGCUCCUAUGACUUUUACAGUUGAAGCUGUUUUGGUCUCUAAACAUAUUUCCAGCUCAAAGUGUCAGAAAAAGUAUUUCCUAAAAAUUUAAACAAUCUACAUUGCUCUAUGCCCCGGGUUGCCGUGUAUGCUCCACUUGUAUGCUCCACUUUAUUAGGAUUAUUCCUAAAGACCAUUGUUUUGUCGUAAUUGAUGGUAAGUGCCUCCUUACAGUAGUCCUCCAAACUAUGCAAUAAUCUUUUUAACUCUAUUCUGGCGAGGAACUUUAAUACCAUGUAAUCUACAUACAUUAGGAUGGAGACUUUUUUUUUUGACCAAUGGAAGGAGCUACAAAUUUGGGACCAGAUAAUUUUUUAACUAUGUCAUUAAUGUAUAAAUUAAAUAGCAAAGGAGCCAAGACACUUCCCUAUUUCACCCCCUUUUUAACUGAUAUCUCUCUUGUUAGGGAUCCUGAGAUGCCCACUCUCUUGCAUAUGUGUCCAUGUGUAGUUCACGUAAAAGAAACAGCAGACAUUUUUCAAUAUUGAAGUUCAUUAAAUUUCGUUGAUGUGGCAAAUGUGCUGCAUGUCCGAUGGCAAUGGAGAUGAAAAAAAUUGAUUUCUCUCAUGUUAAUUAUGUUAAAAAUUUGGAAAGGUUUUCAAAUUGUAAUUCAAAAAAUGUUGUGUAUUUCAUCAUGUGUCCCUGUAAAAAAUAUUACAUUGGAAAGACCAGCAGAAUUUUGAAGUCUCGGAUUUUUUAGCAUGUUUCACUCAUCAGAAAUGCUAUCAAGGAUGCCCCAUUAGUAGACCAUUUUGUGAAUAUGAACCAUCAAUGGAACUCAUGACGUUUUGGAGUCUUGGCUUCUGUUCCAGACAACACUGAGGACAUUGACAACAAACUACGUCGGCUUGAAAGCUUUUUUAUUUGCAGAUUGGAAACUAUGCAGCCUGCUGAACUUAAUUCAAACAUUGACUUCAGACCUUUCCUGUGAUUCCUUAAUUAACUGCACCUGUCUCCCUUGACUUUCUGUAUAAAUUAGGUUGCUUCUGUCUUGGGGUUAAGGACAUUUCGAGAGGCAUAAGAAUAAACUAAUUGCAGAGUGUUGUCCUCCCUGGUAUUUUGGCAUUUUUUCUCCUUUAUAAAAUAAUCAAAUUGUUACUGGUUGAACGCUAUAAUUACAACUGUUUACUUAUUUUUUGUAGAUUGUAACCAUUAUUGUAUUUUGAAAAACCCUGACCUGCCUUUGUAAGUAUUUUUAUGUUUUGGAAAUCAGUUUCACAUGUAAAUUGUAAUUCUUUGU